GACAGAGGUGCCAAGCGUUAGGCGGAAUCACUGGGCUUAAAGCGUGUGUAGGUGGAUGCCUAAGUACCUUGUGAAAUCCCACGGCUCAACCGUGGAACUGCUUGGUAUACUGGGUGUCUUGAGCCAACUAGGGGCAGCCGGAACUAACGGUGGAGCGGUGAAAUGCGUAGAUAUCGUUAGGAACGCCAACGGUGAAAACAGGCUGCUGGGGUUGUGCUGACACUGAGACACGAAAGCCAGGGGAG
rnacentral:rRNA from 1 species